CUGCUGCCUUCCGUAGGAGUUUGGGCCGUGUCUCAGUCCCAAUGUGGCCGGUCACCCCCUCAGGUCGGCUACUGAUCGUCGCCUUGGUGGGCUGUUAUCUCACCAACUAGCUAAUCAGAUGCGGGCCCAUCUUUUACCGAAUAAAUCCUUUCUUUCCUAGAAGAUGCCUUCCAAGAACCGUAUGCGGUAUUAGUCACCGUUUCCAGUGAUUAUUCCCCAGUAAAAGGCAGGUUACCCACACGUUACUCACCCGUCCGCCGCUAAAAUAAUCAAAA
rnacentral:rRNA from 1 species